UACGUAGGGUGCGAGCGUUGUCCGGAAUUAUUGGGCGUAAAGGGCUCGUAGGCGGUUUGUCGCGUCGGGAGUGAAAACGCCGUGCUUAACACGGCGCUUGCUUUCGAUACGGGCAGACUAGAGGUAUGCAGGGGAGAACGGAAUUCCUGGUGUAGCGGUGAAAUGCGCAGAUAUCAGGAGGAACACCGGUGGCGAAGGCGGUUCUCUGGGCAUGAUCUGACGCUGAGGAGCGAAAGUGUGGGGAGCGAACAGG
rnacentral:rRNA from 1 species